rnacentral:tRNA from 1 species
GAUGGUAAGGCUCAACAGUAGAGUGUAUGCUUAGCAUGCACAAGGUCCUGGGUUCAAUCCCCAGUACCUUCA